rnacentral:tRNA from 1 species
UUAAAUGUAACCAAUUAGGUAUAUCACUGUUAAUGAUAAAAUUGAAUUAAAUUCCAUUUAAA